CACGUAGGCGGACAAGCAAGUCUGAUGUGAAAUCCCCCGGCUUAACCGGGGACGUGCAUUGGAAACUACUUGACUAGAGUGCAGGAGGGGAGAGUGGAAUUCCAGGUGGAGCGGUGAAAUGCGUAGAUAUCUGGAGGAACGCCGGUGGCGAAAGCGACUCUCUGGUCUGUUACUGACGCUGAGGUGCGAAAGCUAGGGGAGCAAACG
rnacentral:rRNA from 1 species